UUUGGCCUACGGGGGGCAGCAGUGAGGAAUAUUGGUCAAUGGUCGGGAGACUGAACCAGCCACGCCGCGUGAGGGAUGAAGGUACAGAGUAUCGUAAACCUCUUUUGUCAGGGAACAAAGGCGGGGACGUGUCCCCGGAUGAGUGUACCUGAAGAAAAAGCAUCGGCUAACUCCGUGCCAGCAGCCGCGGUAAUACGGAGGAUGCGAGCGUUAUCCGGAUUUAUUGGGUUUAAAGGGUGCGCAGGCGGAAGAUCAAGUCAGCGGUAAAAUUGAGAGGCUCAACCUCUUCGAGCCGUUGAAACUGG
rnacentral:rRNA from 1 species